ACGAACUGUUCGUAAUUUUACGAAUAUAGCAGCGAUUAUCGCAUUAUAUAACGCUUUAGUGAAAAGCCAAUUGGAAUGCAACACAGUCAUCUGGGACCAAAUAUAGUCUCAUGUUGGAGCGGAUACAAAACAAAUUUAUUAGGUUUUUAUUAUAUUUUAGACUAUAUGACUAUAUCCUUUUCAUCCUCAUAUGUAUGCAACUUUGUUUGUGUUGGGCAUGGUGGGAUACAACGAGCUACGAGUCAGGCGGGAACUCGCACUUGUGUUAUAUGUAUUCAGCUGAGAUGUGGCGACGACGUCGGCUUCACCUACUUACUGGCUGUACCUCGUGGUCGCAAUAAUUUAUGGAACGAGGCACCCCUGUCGCGGGCGCUUCGCACUCGCAACCUUGUAGCAGAGACGGAUUUUUUUACUUGUACACUGAAUGAAUACACAAGGAUAACGUUAUAUGUUGUUAUUUAUGUUAAAUUAUGUGUGCUUUACUUUCGAAUUGGGUAGUACCUGUAAUAUGCUGUAAUGAUAGUUUUUAGUUAAUAAAUCAACAAUAUGAUCGCAACUUU